UAUGUUGUAGUCUAGUUGGUUAGGAUACUCAUCUCUCACUCGAGAGACCCAAGUUCAAGUCCUGACAAUAGAA
rfam:Picea glauca, whole genome shotgun sequence.